rnacentral:rRNA from 1 species
UACCCUAUAAUGGUAGUUGUUAAUUUUUUUACUUGGUUAGUAUUAGAUUGUUCUUGAAAUCCAAAUAAUUUGGCGGUAUUUUAUUCUAUUCAGAGGAACCUGUUCUUUAAUUGAUAAUCCACGAUUUUAUUUACUUAAUUUUGUAAUAUCAGUUUUUAUAUUUCCGUCAUAAGAAUAUUUUAAUAGAAUAAAUUUUCUUAAUUGUUAAAAAUAAAUAUGUCAGGUCAAGAUGGAGCUAAUGGUUAAGUAGAAAUGGGUUACAAUAAAGUUAUUUAUAUGGAUUUUUAAUUUUAUAAUUAUUUUGAAGGUGGAUUUGAUAGUAAAUAAAUUUAUUAAGUUUAUUGAUUUAAGUUCUAAAUUAUGUACACAUCGCC